GACGUAGGGCGCGAGCGUUGUCCGGAUUUAUUGGGCGUAAAGAGCUCGUAGGCGGCUCAUCGCGUCAACCGUGAAAACCUGCAGCUUAACUGUGGGCUUGCGGUCGAUACGGGCAUCACUGGAGUUCGGCAGGGGAGACUGGAAUUCCUGGUGUAGCGGUGAAAUGCGCAGAUAUCAGGAGGAACACCGGUGGCGAAGGCGGGUCUCUGGGCCGAUACUGACGCUGAGGAGCGAAAGCGUGGGGAGCGAACAGG
rnacentral:rRNA from 1 species